rnacentral:rRNA from 1 species
UCAAGUAGUAAAAUGUCAAUUGGCAACCCACUAAAGCUAAGCAGGUGUGAGCCUGGUCAGUACCUGGAUGGGUGAUCUCCUGGGAAAAACUAAGGUUGCUGCUGGAA